GAUUUCUAGCUCACGUCGCUUGACCCGCUUUCGGUUACGAAUGUGUGUGUCGAGCUUGACUGGGCUAUCCUUCUAGUCUGGUUGUUUAGGCUCUUUAUUGAGUCUUGCAGCUUUUUUGGACUAGAUCAUUUACUUUGAAAAAAUUAGAGUGUUUCAAGCAGGCUUUAUGCUAUGAAUACAUUAGCAUGGAAUAAUAAUUUAGGACUUCGGUUCUAUUUUGUUGGUUUCUAGGACUGAAGUAAUGAUUGAUAGGGAUAGUUGGGGGUGCUAGUAUUCAGCGGCCAGAGGUGAAAUUCUCGGAUUCGCUGAAGACUAACUUAUGCGAAAGCAUU
rnacentral:rRNA from 1 species